GCAUUAUUCAAUUGAAAUGUACAAUAUUAUGAACAUUUUGAGCUUUUACAAUUUUUUUUCAAAAAUUAAAAUUCCAUUUGAUAUUGUAAACUUUAGAUAUUAAAACCCAAGGCAGCAGAUGGAAGGAAAAUCAAAAUUAUUGAUAAUCUGAGUGAUGUCAGCAUCAUGGUAGCAUUAAAUAUCCCUCAUUUUUGUUCCCCUCCUCAAAAACAGUGAUUCAUCAUCCAUCCACAGACUAAAGUGCCUUUGAGGAGGCUGUGGGAUCCAACAUCAUACAACAAGAGAACUGGGAUAAGUCUUACCCACUUGUGCAUCAGGUAAUGCAUGACUUCGUAGAAAAAAAUGAAUUACAUAAAUUGACCUAUAUCAAAUGGAAACCAGAAGACUUGGAUUAGAACAGAGACUGGAAAGCUAGUGAGGAUCGACAUAUAAAGAUUUAUCAGGACCAGAUGGCUCACAGCAUUAUGAAGGAAUCAGAAGUGUAGAGAAAAGUGUGUUCUUUUUUCCCCAAUUGAUUGAUUAUUGACUGAAAGACUAAUGUUUCCAGGCUUUGUAAACCCUACACGUCUCAAGCUCUAAUGAUCCUUGACUUGUGCUGUAGAAGUGAUGCUACGAGUAAGCAAAAAGGGGAAUUGCGAGUUAGAAUGGAGUUUAUCAUCAAGAGAUCGUCCCAUUCUCUUACUUGUAAUUUGAUUUUAAAGAAAUUUAAUACUUUGAAACAAGAACCUCAUGAACAAACGUUUACCUUACCUUAAUGAUAUGACAGUUUUGUAUAAAUUUGACAUUUCUGAAAGAAUUCAGCUCAAAGAUAGUAAGUAUAGAAGUCUUCUAUUUUUCUGUUUUUCUACGGUAAUUAACUCACUACCACAUUUCUCACCAAUGCUCUUUGCGUGAACUCAUUUUUAGAGGAUGACAGACCCUCACCUUUCCUGUGGGAAUGCUAAUACUGUCAAGAAGAACAAAGAACUUUUGCCCUCUGAGAUCCCCCGGGACCACUGCUCUCUCCUUGUUUCAUCAGAAGUGAGGAUUUGUCAGUAGGCACAUUUAAUCAUAGGCCAUAUCAGG
rnacentral:lncRNA from 1 species